rnacentral:rRNA from 1 species
CGAAAGCCUGACGGAGCAAUACCGCGUGAGGGAGGAAGGCUCUUGGGUCGCAAACCUCUUUUCUCAGGGAAGAACACAAUGACGGUACCUGAGGAAUAAGCAUCGGCUAACUCCGUGCCAGCAGCCGCGGUAAUACGGAGGAUGCAAGCGUUAUCCGGAAUGAUUGGGCGUAAAGCGUCCGCAGGUGGCUAUGUAAGUCUGCUGUUAAAGAGUCUAGCUCAACUAGAUAAGAGCAGUGGAAACUACACAGCUAGAGUACGUUCGGGGCAGAGGGAAUUCCUGGUGUAGCGGUGAAAUGCGUAGAGAUCAGGAAGAACACCGGUGGCGAAGGCGCUCUGCUAGGCCGUAACUGACACUGAGGGACGAAAGCUAGGGGAGCG